rnacentral:rRNA from 1 species
AGAGUUCGAUCCUGGCUCAGGAUGAACGCUGGCGGCGCGCCUAACACAUGCAAGUCGAACGGCACCCCUCUCCGGAGGGAAGCGAGUGGCGAACGGCUGAGUAACACGUGGAGAACCUGCCCCCUCCCCCGGGAUAGCCGCCCGAAAGGACGGGUAAUACCGGAUACCCCGGGGUGCCGCAUGGCACCCCGGCUAAAGCCCCGACGGGAGGGGAUGGCUCCGCGGCCCAUCAGGUAGACGGCGGGGUGACGGCCCACCGUGCCGACAACGGGUAGCCGGGUUGAGAGACCGACCGGCCAGAUUGGGACUGAGACACGGCCCAGACUCCUACGGGAGGCAGCAGUGGGGAAUCUUGCGCAAUGGGGGGAACCCUGACGCAGCGACGCCGCGUGCGGGACGGAGGCCUUCGGGUCGUAAACCGCUUUCAGCAGGGAAGAGUCAAGACUGUACCUGCAGAAGAAGCCCCGGCUAACUACGUGCCAGCAGCCGCGGUAAUACGUAGGGGGCGAGCGUUAUCCGGAUUCAUUGGGCGUAAAGCGCGCGUAGGCGGCCCGGCAGGCCGGGGGUCGAAGCGGGGGGCUCAACCCCCCGAAGCCCCCGGAACCUCCGCGGCUUGGGUCCGGUAGGGGAGGGUGGAACACCCGGUGUAGCGGUGGAAUGCGCAGAUAUCGGGUGGAACACCGGUGGCGAAGGCGGCCCUCUGGGCCGAGACCGACGCUGAGGCGCGAAAGCUGGGGGAGCGAACAGGAUUAGAUACCCUGGUAGUCCCAGCCGUAAACGAUGGACGCUAGGUGUGGGGGGACGAUCCCCCCGUGCCGCAGCCAACGCAUUAAGCGUCCCGCCUGGGGAGUACGGCCGCAAGGCUAAAACUCAAAGGAAUUGACGGGGGCCCGCACAAGCGGCGGAGCAUGUGGUUUAAUU